rnacentral:rRNA from 1 species
AUUGAACGCUGGCGGCAGGCCUAACACAUGCAAGUCGAGCGGUAGAGAGGUGCUUGCAUCUCUUGAGAGCGGCGGACGGGUGAGUAAUGCCUAGGAAUCUGCCUAGUGGUGGGGGAUAAACGUUCGGAAACGGACGCUAAUACCGCAUACGUCCUACGGGAGAAAGCGGGGGAUCUUCGGGACCUCGCGCCAUUAGAUGAGCCUAGGUCAGAUUAGCUAGUUGGUGAGGUAAUGGCUCACCAAGGCGACGAUCCGUAACUGGUCUGAGAGGAUGAUCAGUCACACUGGAACUGAGACACGGUCCAGACUCCUACGGGAGCAGCAGUGGGGAAUUUUGGACAAUGGGGGCAACCCUGAUCCAGCAAUGCCGCGUGAGUGAAGAA